ACUAUUCAACCCAUGCCCCAUAGAGGACAGAAAUCCUAAACUUAAAUCCCUAACGCCCCACGCAGCUCAUCUCUCUAGUCUCAACUCUCGUCAGUCACUCUCAGGCCAGCCGGCGCUGCCGCUCAGUUCUCGCUGAGUGCUCGCAGGCGUCGCGCAGCCCGCUACUCACUGGCCAGUGGCCAGUGGCCACUGCCCACUGCUCACGCUCGCGAGUCGCGCCUCGAAGGUAAAAUUAUGCCCUUUUGAGUUUAGUGAUGGCCUAAUUGGGCAGGCUGCAGGUCACAACUCACAGUGCAGGUAUUGACAUUUUUGAAAGGAGUUCAACACAUAAAUUCCAGGUAACAAACUGUAGACGAGUAAUCCAUAGGAGAUCAUAGAUAUGUAUGCAGAGCUAUCACUCCAGAAACCUUUGCUGGGAGCUUUAAUACUUUUUUCUUCACAUAAUAGUCAUUUUCUAAGACCUUCUCUAAUAAGCAUCUUGCUUUGUGCAAAUGAAGUCACUAAAUGCAUAUAACUGCGUACCUUCUGUAGCUACUAGCAUAUGAAAACCACCUGCUACUAUAUCUGGCAAGUUUGGCCUGGACCAGGACUGACACACUUGGCCUCUGGCCCAGGGAGAUGGUCUGGUUCACGAACCGGACCCUUUCUUAAGAGGCCGGUCUGGGCCAGUAAAUUCUGAAGAGUGGUGGACCUGACACCAACUCCUGAUUCCUAACCACUAUGUGAUCUGGUAGUGGACCAAUCCGAGCUUCUUCUUUUUAACUUCAUUCUACUUUU